GACGAACGCUGGCGGCGUGCCUAACACAUGCAAGUCGAACGAGGUCCAUCCUUCGGGAGAAGACCUAGUGGCGAACGGGUGAGUAACACGUGAAGAACCUGCCCCGAAGACCGGGAUAACCCUCCGAAAGGAGAGCCAAUACCGGAUACCCCCACCGAACCGCAUGGUUUGGUGAGGAAAUGGAUUCCGCUUCGGGAGGGCUUCGCGGCCUAUCAGCUAGUUGGUGGGUAACGGCCCACCAAGGCAUCGACGGGUAGCUGGUCUGAGAGGACGAUCAGCCACACUGGGACUGAGACACGGCCCAGACUCCUACGGGAGGCAGCAGUGGGGAAUCUUGCGCAAUGGGCGAAAGCCUGACGCAGCAACGCCGCGUGGGGGAUGAAGGCUCUCGGGUUGUAAACCCCUUUCAGCAGGGACGAAUCAAGACGGUAACCUGCAGAAGAAGCCCCGGCUAACUACGUGCCAGCAGCCGCGGUAAU
rnacentral:rRNA from 1 species